GUGACAAUGACCACUGUUGGAUAUGGGGACCUUGUGCCGGAUAGUACAACUUCUAAACUGCUUGCUUCCGUCUUUGUUUUCUCCGGGAUGGCCCUUGUCGGACUGGUUUUAAGUGAAGGAGCAGAUUACCUAGUGGAGAAGCAGGAAACACUAUUAAUCAAAGCAAUGCAUGUCCGUCGUAAAGUUAGUCCAAGUGAAAUUCUAAAAGAAAUUGAAACAAACAAAUUAAGGUACAAGUGCCUUGUCAUCAUGGUCUCUCUUGUGGUGCUAAUGGUUGUUGGAACGGUGUUCCUUGCCAAGGUAGAAAAGUUAAGUACCAUUGAUGCCUUUUAUUGUGUCUGUUCUACCAUCACAACCUUAGGAUAUGGAGACAAAAGCUUCUCAACAAGAGCGGGGC
rnacentral:lncRNA from 1 species